UACGUAGGGUGCAAGCGUUGUCCGGAUUUAUUGGGCGUAAAGAGCUCGUAGGCGGUCUGUCGCGUCGGAUGUGAAAACCCAGGGCUCAACCCUGGGCCUGCAUUCGAUACGGGCAGACUAGAGUGUGGCAGGGGAGACUGGAAUUCCUGGUGUAGCGGUGAAAUGCGCAGAUAUCGGGAAGAACACCCGUGGCGAAGGCGGCACUCUGGGACGGUACUGACGCUGAGACGCGAAAGCGUGGGGAGCGAACAGG
rnacentral:rRNA from 1 species